rnacentral:rRNA from 1 species
CACGUAGUUAGCCGGGGCUUCUUGUCCAGGUACUGUCAUUUUCUUCCCUGCUGACAGGGCUUUACGCACCGGAGUGCUUCUUCACCCACGCGGCAUUGCUGCAUCAGGGUUCCCCCCAUUGUGCAAUAUUCCCCACUGCUGCCUCCCGCAGGAGUCUGGGCCGUGUCUCAGUCCCAAUGUGGCCGUCCACUCCCUCAAGCCGGCUACUGAUCGUUGUCUUGGUAGGCCGUUACCCUGCCAACUAACUAAUCAGACGCGGGCCCAUCCUGUACCACCGUGGUUUUCCCUGCUGUGCCAUGCGGCACAGCAGGCUUAUGCGGUAUUAGCAGCCAUUUCUGGCUGUUGUCCCCCGGUACAGGGCAGGUUGCCCACGCGUUACUCACCCGUCCGCCACUAGGUUUAUAUAUCUUCCCUCCGGAGAGUUCUGUUGUAUAACCCCGUUGACUUGCAUGUGUUAGGCAUGCCGCCAGCGUUCAUCCUGGACGCCAGGAUCAAACUU